AACGCCCGUCUCCUCCCUUGUUUACUGACCCGGCGUGGUUUCCGCUCAAGUCGACUAUGAAUCAAGUGAACAUAUAGACGUCCUUGGCCAGACACAAUCAUACUUCAUGUCAAAGGUCUUAAACGGACAGCAGAUGGCAGUAUCGGCAUGGAGCUCGGGGAACAUGUGGAAAAGAAGAAGAGGUCGGUACGCUGAGACUAUGUUAACAUUCAUAAGAAACCCUUAAAGACAUAGCUAAAUCCACACUUAAUCUCCUUAAACUCGUGAAAGGUUGUUUGUUACAGUGAUCUGACUGCUUAUUGCAUUUCACUUUGCGUCAUCAAAGUCACCAUGUUGGAGGUCCUGGGCUGGUUAACAAGCACACUGUAUGCAUGGAGGAAGAUCCCAAAUAACUGUCAGGACAAUGGUGGUUUAAACAUGACAAACUCCCUACUGUCACCGAGACAUAACGAAACCUCAACAUUGUUUGGAGCAAAGGUCAAAUAAAAAAUGUGUGGCUCAUUUUUGUUUAGAUGAGAAAGAAUACACAGGCAUUAAACAUUACAUUAAACAGAAUUGUUGGCGGUGUCCAGUGCAAUUCUGUUGGCUGUGGUUUGCUGGGGCAGCAGAUUAACGGUGGCGGACACUAACAGACUCAACAGACUCAUCCGCAAAGCUGGUGAUGUGGUGGGGGUGAAACUGGACUCCUUGGAGAUGGUUGUGGAGAGAAGGGUGCUCCUGAAACUGAGGAGCAUCCUGGACAACAUCACCCACCCCCUCCAUCCGCUCCUGGUCCUAUACGAAAGCACAUGGACCAAUAGACUGAGACUACUCAACUCAAAGACCUAGCACCACAGGAGGUCCUUUCUUCCUGUGGCAAUAAAAAUGUACAAUUCAUCUGUGAAAAAAAUCAUGAUGAAGAAUUCUUCUUGAACUGCAUUUUCUUGCACAUUGUUUCUGAGCUCUUUAGUGUAGCUUUGUUUUUGCACUUUAUAGUAUUCUUACUUUUUAAUUCAUUGCGAUAUGUUGAGUAGAGAGCAUGCUACGAACAUCAUUUCCCUUGGGAUUAAUAAAGUUUUUCUGAUCUGAUUAUGAUACAGGCAAUUCUGGUGUGGAGAAGUCAUCAGAGAAUCAUGCAGGAAUGCAGGAUCGCAAGAGAGAUCUAUUGCUUGGUUCCAAGACUAAGACUAAGACCUAAACCAGCCUUAUACCUUAUAAUUUUUUAAAAUGUAAUGAUAUUCUUUGUCAUGUGAAACAAUAAUGUAAAUGUAAUAACCCAGUUAUAAUAAUAUUAAACAGUCACUAACAGUGUGUGUGAAUCUAAACCAAAGAAGAGAGCCAGCAUUUUUAUGUUUACCCAUCAUUUUAUUUUUCCCUCUCUCUCUAAUUCAAGGCAUCUUGAACUGAUUAAAACGGGGAGUUUCCAGUCGGAAUAGUUGUGGGUUCUUUCUUGGUUUGGCUGGUCUUGUUUCCAUUGUCCUCGUUUACAUGGAGUCCAGCUCAUCCACAGCAGCCUGGAACCUAAGAGUACAAGACAAGUUAUAUUUACAUUGAAGAUAUAAUCACCUCAAACUGACUCAAGUGUUCUACCCAGCGCUUCCUCUGGUGUCUCCGCCAUCAAGCAGGCUCUUGUAGGUGCUGAUUUCUGCUUCCAAUUUGACCUUCAAGUUAAGCAGUGCCUCGUAUUCUUGCGUCUGUUGCUGUAUAUUUGCACGCAGGUUUGUUAGCUCUUCUUCCAGUCUCAUGAUGAUGACGUUGUACUUCUCCAUCUCCAUGUUGUUUCGGAAUUCUGUGUUGCGAAGCGUGUCCUCUAAAGAAGCUUUCUGAUGAUGGACAAAAGGCAGGAAGACGUAAAAAAAGAGAGUCCUGAUAAAACCUUAUUACAUGUGAGUUGAGAAAACAAAAUACUUACCAGGCUCUGUUGGGAUGCAAGUUCAAUUUCUAGCGUCUGUAUCUGCCUGGAUAAAUCACCCUUUUCUGUCUGUGCUCCCUGGAGAGCCUCUGUAUUCUGCGACACCUGCGCCUGCACCUCAGCCGUCUGGAAAUAAAUCAGGGAAAUAUUUUGAUGAGGAAUAAGCAGCACAUUCCCAUGGCUGGCGGUCGCAGUCUGAGCAUCACCUGACUCUCAUGCCAUCGCUUCAGGUCCUCUGCAUUCUUCAUGGCGAUCUUCUCGUAGUUGCCUCUCAUGUCUUCCAUGAUCUGCGAUAGGUCUUGACCUUUGGGAGCGUCAACAUCCACUUGCACACCGGAGUGAGAGACUUGGUUCCUCAGCUCCAUCACCUCCUGCAGGAUGGUCGCAUCAAAGUCAACUCGAUUGGAAGACAAGUCGAAUUGUUUUUGUCUCACAUUUUCGUGGUUCUUCCUGAUGAACACCAGCUCUUCCCUGACAGCUUCUAUCUCACUCUCGAUGUUCAUCCUGCUCACGUUGGUUUCAUCGAUGACUCUCUUCAGUCCGGCGAUGUCCGCCUCCACGGACUGACGGAUCGCCAUCUCAUUAUCAAACCUGCAGUGACACAUAUAUUACUUCAUGGUUGACAUUCUCUCGGAGUGUGGCAUUCUUCUCCCCGUGCUUGUGUGCAGGACUCAUUUGCCUGCUUUAACUUCUUUGCUCCGGCUUCCUUGCUCAAAAUGCUACAACUCACUUUAGUACGGUGAGUCUUCUGUCCUGUUUAAUGAUUAAAUCCCCAUCCAAGUUUUGCAUAGCUUUAAUAUGAACCCAAAGUUUGUUAAAAUUGCAUCAAAAUUGUCCAAAAAAUGUGAUCUUGUAACUGAGAAGGAUUCCAGAAUGCAAGAACAAAAAAAAUCAUUCUCAUGCAAUGUUGUGAUCCAAGGAAAACAUAUUUUUAUAUUUUUUUGCAGCAUUAUUUUUUGGAGCAGACAAUGACACAACUGGAAACUUACUUGACUUUGAAGUCAUCAGCUGCCAAGCGUGCGUUGUCAAUCUGGAGCACAAAACGAGCGUUUUCCUGGAUCUUGUCAAAAAUCUGGAGAUGAAGAAGGAAAAUGUCAGAUCAUGAGACCGAGAUUCUUUUGGUUUUAAUCCGCAUUGUUGCUCUGUUUACUGGCUCUAAUGAGAUCCACGUUUAGAAUCUAAAAGGUCAUUAAAGCUUUUGACAAACUGGAAGUGAUGAGGCUUCAUGAAACAGCGCCCUCUAGGUGGCACUGUAAAAUCUUUGGACUUACAACCUUACUGAUGAAAUCUCACAUCAUUUAUAAAUGUAGAGCACCACCUACUGAAUGGGGACACUGUCUUCACCGAUGUUUGUUUUGAUGCUUCAUGGUGCUGUCACUUGGUCAGUCCUUUGCUAAAUAAAUGUGAGUUUAUUCCUAUCUGAAGAGCUCACUUGCCAAAUCGAACAGUUUAUUGGCCCAGGACAAUCACAAACAUGUGAUUUAAAUCCUGCUCUUACGCAACACAAGCCACCCAGGAGUCGUAUUUCAGGUUCAGACCGCUGCGUGAUUGGUCCUUCGAAAGCUUCGGUAACAAAAAGGAACCACAAACUGAAGAACAGGAAGCAGGGAUGGGUGCCAGCUCGCAGUCUGGUUUCUUUUAGCAUCAUCGGAAAGAUAGUUUUCCUGUUUGAAUGAAUCAGUCGAUACGUGUGCUCUGUCUGAUGAGUAGAGAUGGAAACAUCUGCUUCUGGGUCUUGCUCCCUCCAACUGCGCGAAAUGUGUGUGAAAGUGUCACGACCAACAUCCAUAAAUUGGCUGGGCAGUGUAAACCACAGCUGAGGAAUGUGACAUUCGACUCGGGGGACUGAAGCUGAUUGUUGUACGAGCCGUGCACCCACACACAUCUGUGCUGCACACACUCUGGCAGUGGGCACAUGCCGUGUGUGUGUGUGUGUAUACACCACACAUCUGUUUCACGUUGAGCAGACACAUAUAAGCUGCAGCUUGUUGAGUCGAGUAUUCACGAGAGGAAGUGUGGAAAGUUUUGAGUGAUGGAGACCUCGUGCGGAUGAAUCACCAGAGGAAGAACUUCUGUAGUGAAUGGGGAGUACAAUGGGGGAGGGUCACAGUUCAGCAGCAACCACACCCUUCAUUCUCUUGAUAGAGAUUUGACAACUCUCAAAUGCAAUCUAACCUGUUGCAUUGUUUUGUUACAUGAUGAUAAGAUAAAGGAGACAGUGCACCAGUCAGACUCUAAUCACCUGUUAUCACAUGACCGAACAUUAUUGUGAAAUAUUAUUUUUACUUUUUUCCUCACCUGCCGUCUGAGGUCUUCAAUGAUGGGAUCGUACUUCUUGUAGUCCUUCAUGUCCGGGCCUCCCUUCUCCAGGGCCUCCAUGAUCUUCAUCUCCAGGUUCUUGUUGGCCUGCUCCAGGUUUCUCACUGUCUCCAGGUAGUUUGCCAGUCGGUCGUUGAGAUUUUGCAUGGCUCCCUUCUCAUUGCCCAGGAUGGCUCCAGAACUCCCAGAGCCGGACAUGGAUGCACCAAACCCAGCGUUGACCCCGCCACCCAUCCCGCUGCUCACCUUGAAGGCAGACUUUGAGGUCAGAGGAGUGCCGGAACGCAGCGAGGACGCAGAGACGGAGGAGAUGCGGGACCCGUGUCCUCCUGCUCCACCGUAAAUGCUGACAGGCGCCCGAGGCACCGAGCGGUUCAUGGAGAUUUGGGUAGAUGGUAUCUGAUGCUGAAUAGUGGUCCUCCUGUAGCUCAUUUUGAAGCAGUUGGUGGGGAGAGAGUGCAGAUGUGGAGGCUGAGUGCUGGCUGGCUUGAGAAAGAGACGAUUGCAGAGGGAAGUGGGGAACUUAUACUCCGCCUGCUUCUCUCUUUCAAUCAGUGGCUGGCCACUUUGACCCGUCCCACUCCAGCGUCCCCCCCAAUCUUUCCCUCCUGCUCCCCCCCUCCUUUGACACACUCUCUCACCCAGAGUUAGACUACAUUAAAUUACAGUCAUGUGUACCGUAUUGUUAACAUCCACAUGCAUAUUAGAGAGUACGUCUCAUGACAAUAAUAAACUUUUAGAACCUUGUAAACAACACUUUUUUCCUUCCCAAAUUCCGUUGGUUUGCCCAUAAAUGGCCACGUUCCACUCUUAGCUGAAUCAACGUCUGCGGUUAACCAUUCCUUAGAAUUUUCUGGUUAAAUCUGGAAUGUCUUUGUUUGUUUUCAGUUGAAAAGUGAUGGUUCAGACAAGAAUUAAUAAAAUACAUAGAACUAUAUAUAUAUAUUUGCAUACAUAUUCUGAUCAUGUGGCAUGCACUGUAUGAUGGCAGCACCAUGUUUUUAGAGUUUAGAAUCAACUGCUUUAUAUCUGACUCGUUUCACUGGGGUCAUAUGCAUUGUGUGUGUGUCCAUGUUUUCCGACUGGAGACAGGCAUGUUCGAAUUGAUCUCACUGUGGUGUGAAGUGAAGCAAUUUUGACGAGAUCUACCGGCAGCUGCAAACAGGAAGUGAACACCAGAAGAGCGUAGCAACUGAUAAACAGAGAAAAACAAAGUUUGCCACAGAUGAGAAUAUGCUGAGAAGUGACCCAGAACCUGCGGUGUUGACGUGGAAACCUGACAACACUGGAGAUAAUACUUACACGGAUGAAUGGAUAUUUGAGACUGUGUGAAACAGGCAGAAUAAAAAGAUGGCCUUUGGAGCACUAAAGGAUCUGACGUCCUCUUCCAAAUGUACAGGGUUUUAAUUUACCUGUCUCGGAAAGUUAGUGUACAGGUUUGGCCUAUUUAAGUGAGGCACCUUCUGUAAUGAAAUAUGAUUUCAAAGAGCCUUGUGAAAAAAGUCAUGAACGCCCGCAGGUCUCUGACACCCAGCUCUCCUGUAACAUUCCCUUUUAUUUAAAACACAUUUGAGGCAUCUCAUAUAUCAGGUGCUUGCCACUGGUCAAACUUUUCAUCGACUUAUGCAGUUUGUCUCUGACAGGCUCAUGACACGGGCGGAAAGAUGGGCAGUUUAAUCACAUUUCUCUGACUCAUACCACAUGACACAGGAGUCACUGUUUUGUUGGUCGGUUUUAAAAACACUCUGCUUCACAACCAGAGAAGAGCAAAAAGAAACACACAGGGUCUUCUUAUUCAUGGUGAACGUCACAGUGUUCGCUCACUAUCUUGUGUCAUGAGCCAUGCUGAUAAACAAUGAUGAUGUUACUUGAAUUGUUUGCACUGAUAACCAUCAAACAGCCCACUCUGUUCAAAUGUAACUCAAUCAGACAGAAUAAAG